rnacentral:lncRNA from 1 species
GCGGGGGGAGCAGCAACGGCGCCGCCCGGGCCCCCCCUGCCUCAUCCCUCCGUCUAGCCCGGAGAUGCGGAGGAGCGGUACCUUGGAUUGUGAUCUAAGAGCGAAAGAAUCAGUUAAAACCACUAGGCCGAGAGGAGUAGAGGAGGAACUUAAAGCGUGCGGCGUCCCACCUCCGCCGCCAGUCGCGGCCCCUUUAAGAAGGAGCUACGGUCCCGAAUUGAACGGGGGAAGGGAAAGGAAAGCGGGAAAGACGGAACCACCGGGAAGUACCGAGGGAGGACCGGAAACCGAAGCACAAACCGUUCCCUCUCUCCACUGAUUUAUCCGUCAAGAGUAGGAAAAAAUAAAGCAGUAGGGACCUUCACCAUUCAAGACAACCGUCUUAAGAGAGACAAGGCCGGCUUAGACUUUCCUGGGACUUAGCCCCCUCCCAACAGCCCCUCUCCGCGUCCUACCCAGACUUCUCCCGGUGUAAACAGGCCUGUGAAUUAAACCUAGCCGAGCCCGUGGGACGACCGAAGCCCCUGGGGACAACGGGUGAAGGGAAACUGGCUAAAGGUUCGGCUUCCGAGGACGACAAGCCGAGGCCUCCAUGACCCUCCCGGAGUGCUGUGGGGUGCUGGGGAUCCCGCUUCGGCCCUUCCUCCUCCACUCGCUCUUACCUGGCCGGCGCUGUUCCUCUUCCGGGCGGACCGGUUCCCCCUUGGAGCCCGCGCCGGAGGAUGAUCCGUUCCGAGCCCGGGUUGUCUGCAGAGCCGAGUAGGGCGCGAGGCGGGGAGCCUGGUUGGACGUGUAGCAGGUCGCGGCGCUGCUCCUGAGAUGACAGCAGCGCUCCCGGGGGAGGCCUCGGCUUCCAGGUUCCCGUGGCUGUCCUCGAGUUCGCGCCAGCUGAGCACUUUACGUAACCUCUUUAUGUAAGCUGCACCUCCCGCCGCUACUUUGGUCAGUGGAGAUUCCUGGUGGCCCAUCCCC